ACCUUAGAGACCAACUAAGUUUGUUACUGGUAUGAGCUUUCAUGUGCCAUGCACACUUCUUCAGAUGCACAUGAAAGCUCAUACCAAUAACAAACUUAGUUGGUCUCUAAGGU
rnacentral:miRNA from 1 species